rnacentral:rRNA from 1 species
AUACGGAGGGGGCUAGCGUUGUUCGGAAUUACUGGGCGUAAAGCGCGCGUAGGCGGUUUGCCAAGUCAGGCGUGAAAGCCCCGGGCUCAACCUGGGAACUGCGCUUGAAACUGUCGGUCUAGAGUUCGGGAGAGGGUAGUGGAAUUCCCAGUGUAGAGGUGAAAUUCGUAGAUAUUGGGAAGAACACCGGUGGCGAAGGCGGCUACCUGGACCGGACCUGACGCUGAGGUGCGAAAGCGUGGGGAGCAAACAGGAUUAGAUACCCCGGUAGUCC